rnacentral:rRNA from 1 species
AGUGAACGCUGGCGGUAGGCCUAACACAUGCAAGUCGAACGGCAGCACAGUAAGAGCUUGCUCUUACGGGUGGCGAGUGGCGGACGGGUGAGGAAUACAUCGGAAUCUACUUUUUCGUGGGGGAUAACGUAGGGAAACUUACGCUAAUACCGCAUACGACCUACGGGUGAAAGCAGGGGAUCUUCGGACCUUGCGCGAUUGAAUGAGCCGAUGUCGGAUUAGAUAGUUGGCGGGGUAAAGGCCCACCAAGGCGACGAUCCGUAGCUGGUCUGAGAGGAUGAUCAGCCACACUGGAAGUGAGACACGGUCCACACUCCUAAGGGAGGCAGCAGUGGGGAAUAUUGGACAAAGGGCGCAAGCCUGAUCCAGCUAUACGGCGUGAGUGAAGCAGGCAUUCGGGUUGGAAAGCCCUUUUGUUGGGAAAGAAAAGCAGCAGGUUAAUACCCCGCUGUUCUGACGGUACCCAAAGAAUAAGCACCGGCUAACUUCGUG